GAUGAACGCUGGCGGCGUUCCUAAUACAUGCAAGUCGAGCGAACAGAUGAGGAGCUUGCUCCUCUGACGUUAGCGGCGGACGGGUGAGUAACACGUGGAUAACCUACCUAUAAGACUGGGAUAACUUCGGGAAACCGGAGCUAAUACCGGAUAAUAUAUUGAACCGCAUGGUUCAAUAGUGAAAGACGGUUUUGCUGUCACUUAUAGAUGGAUCCGCGCCGCAUUAGCUAGUUGGUAAGGUAACGGCUUACCAAGGCAACGAUGCGUAGCCGACCUGAGAGGGUGAUCGGCCACACUGGAACUGAGACACGGUCCAGACUCCUACGGGAGGCAGCAGUAGGGAAUCUUCCGCAAUGGGCGAAAGCCUGACGGAGCAACGCCGCGUGAGUGAUGAAGGUCUUCGGAUCGUAAAACUCUGUUAUUAGGGAAGAACAAAUGUGUAAGUAACUAUGCACGUCUUGAUGGUACCUAAUCAGAAAGCCACGGCUAACUACGUG
rnacentral:rRNA from 1 species